UUCUAGUGGUUGAUGGCGAAAGCGGUUUGUGGUACGUCUGCGUCUAUGGGACUCCAUUUCCCACAAGAACAGCUGACCAGGAUAACUCCUAUCUUCGCGAGGCUGCUAUCACCUUUACAUGGGUUCCGGGGCUGACGUCGCAGCGCUCUUCUCCUCGCAAGAAAUCUGGCCAAGACAAUAGCCAGGGACAAGCCAGUGAGUACGUUUUAAUGUACUCGCAAACAUUAAGGACACGGGUAUAAUAUAACAAGGGAUAAUUAUGCUCCGAAAUAUUUUAUGAUGAUGACGUCUAUCACGAAUUAAACAAAAAUCUGUGAUGCACGCAUGCAGGAAAAAUAGGGACAUGCAAUACGGAAGAAAAAUAAAAGAAUGCACGGAUCGAGUGUCUGAAAUGACUCCUCGGAAGGGUGCAAGUAAAUUUAACAAUGCCGCAGUCGGGCGUCUGAGCGACACCACCUAAAGGGCUUACAAAGAAUAAUUAAACGACAAGCAUGUCGCAGUCGGGUGUCUGAGCGACACCACAUAAAGGGCUUAUAAAAAAAAUAACAGGCAUGCCGCAGUCGGGCGUCUGAGUGACACCACAUAAAGGGCUUAUAAAGAAUAAUUAAAUAACAAGCAUGCCGCAGUCGGGCGUCUGAGCGACACCACAUAAAGGGCUUAUAAAGAAUAAUUAAAUAACAAGCAUGCCGCAGUCGGGCGUCUGAGCGACACCACAUAAAGGGCUUAUAAAGAAUAAAUAACAAACAUGCCGCAGUCGGGCGUCUGAGCGACACCACAUAAAGGGCUUAUAAAGAAAAUAAAUAACAGGCAUGCCGCAGUCGGGCGUCUGAGCGACGCCUCAAAAAGGGCUUAUAAAGAAUAAUCACAGUGAAUAUCCAGGAGGUAGAACCGUCCCAGGGAUACUCAAUAAUUCAAAUAAUGUAAAGGGUUAGUCCAUAAUAAUAAUAUAUAUAAUCCUCACAUGUCACCGGUCAUAAACAAAAUCUAGUCUAGCCGUUUCUCCAUUUUAUGACCGUCACUAGAUUCUAGUGUAGCCGUUUUCCAUCCGAAUACCGUUACUAUGAUCCAGUUUAACCGUGUCUCCAUCCGAAAACCGUCACUAGACCCAUCUCAGACUGUUGUCCUUACACAAGGACAUGGCUAUCCAAAAGAUAUGACCUCUGCAGAGGGUGUACUCUUUACCCACGAGUAACUGAUUUAUUUAGUCCAUCGGGACUAAUUCCGCCUACGGCCUUUUAAUUGAAAACACGCCUGACCUGCACACACCAGCUUAACUUACCGGUGUCUGGAAUCACCCACGACACCUGCCAAGCAAAACUCUAAGUGGGGAGGCUACAACCUCGACGUAGCAUGGGAUCAAAUUUAUAUACGCGCGCUCUAAGGGGUGCCCCCCUCUCGGUCCCAACCGGAAACACCCAUGCCCCCGGACCAGGUGGCAUGCCUACCGGAUGCACCCGGUACCUUCCACCAUGGCCUCUCUGUACGGUGUGUGCCUUGGUGAGGGGUUGACAACUUACUGAACCAUACCCUGCCUGCGACAGGGACAAGUGGUGGUACAAAACAAGUAGGGGAAGUUACUGAACAAGACUCGACCUACGACCGACUCAGGUGGUCCAAGUAUUCUCCGAAUAAUAGCAUAACCAAAACAUUACCAAUGACCGACAGAAUCACCGCUCAUCAGACCUCCUCAUGCCAUACCGGACACACUCGUCUCGACGAGGAAUUUGGGACAAGCUCGUGUCUACCCAAGACCACGACUUUCCCGGCUUCUUUCCGGUAUGCAUGAGAAGCUCACGAGGAUGAUUACUGACACCAGCAUAUCCAUACCAACAGUAGUGCAUCUCCAAAAAUGCACUCAGGUGUGUGACUUUAUCGUCACAUAAAAUAGCGUAUACUCCACGUCAAGGUGGUGAUGAAACCGCAUCAAAACACCACACAAAAUAUUAUGCCAGAGUUCAGAAAUGCUUGCCUUCAAGAGUAUGCAAAGGGUGCACUUUUUGAAAGCUUUCUCUUCUCUCCAUUUUCCUAUUUUGAAAAAUAUGCAAAUAACAAAUAUUUCAAACACAGUACAAAAAGUUGUCUCCAAUAUUUUUGAAAUAAAUCUUAAAAUAAACUAGUUGAAAUUUGGGAGAGGUAGGAAAAAGAAUCAACUCAUUUGGAGUUUUAUUUUAAAAGAUAUAGCCAGUCAAAGUUCUGUUUUAAUAAAAACAGAAAAAGGAAAACGCUUCGGGGAAAAUACGCUUUCGAAGCAGAGGAGACGUACUCUGGACUUUCGCGCUUUCACUUAACCAGAGAGGACGGGCGCGCGGGUCGCUGACAGUGGGUCCAGGGGGCCCACUGGUCAGGUUUGACUGGUCUUCCCUCCCUCCUCUCUUUCUGCCCGAACGGUGGCGGGCCUCCGGCGAUCGCCGUCGACGAACGGCGACUCUUCGAGGGCACCUGAGGGCAGGGAUGGACCCGCCAGACCGGGCCGGUCCUCCCGGUGGGCGCCAGGCCGGUGGGGACGGAGGAAGUCACCGGCGGCGAGCUCCGCGGCGGACGGUGGUUCGGGAGCAAAGUGGGUUUCGGGCUAUGGUGGUCCUUGGUCGAGGCUGAGGUGCUGGGCAGCUCCGCAAGACUGUGAGGAGACGUUUGGUGGCGUUGGAUAGGCGGGGGAGGGUCCGGUCGCGACGCACGGCACCGGAGCUCGGCGGCGGCUGAACUGGCCGGAGACGAGGAAGACGGCCCUUCCCUCUCGAUUGCUGGCUAAGGGGAAGCUAUGGGGGUGGCCUGGGGUUGCCUGAGUGCUCGGGGGAGCUCGGGGCCUCCUUUUAUAGCGCGACGGGGCUGGCUCCGCGGCGGUGGAUAAGAACAACGACGAGUCGCCGUUCUGUAGCUGCAGGGCGUCGUGGCGGCGACGAGCGCGUGCCGACGAGCAAGUGGAUGAGCUUGGGCUGUUCACAGGGGGCAGCUGGCGCGCGCGGGUGGCUUGGGCGGCGCCGACCAUGGCAGGAGCUCGCUGCCGACGCCGGCGUGUCGCCAAGAGCUCUGGCAGCGGCGCUGUAGGGUGCCAGGGGUGGCGUGAAGAGUGGGCGAGCGUAGUGCGGUUCUGCAGGGGUCAGGGACGGGACGCGACGAGGGGGGUAGUGCGACGCGGUGGCUCAGUGCGCGCGCGUGCAAAACGUGCGCUCUGGGCGCGCCCAGUGCACGCACUGGACAUGCUCGACGAAAUGCCAGGGUAGCCUAGAGCGCGAGGGGGAGGCUGGCAAUUAACAGGACUAGGUUAGGGAUGGCUAGGAGCUUAGUGGACAAGGUUGCUGGGUCAGUGGAGCAAGAUCAUAGUGCAAACUAGGAAACAUGCCCAAAACUGACUGUGCGCACCAAGUGUUCGACAGAAUGCCAAGUGCAUUUAGGCAACUCUUGGAGCGGCCAAAAUCUCCAGAUCAGGGUCUCUCUAGUAGUAGGUGAUGAUGGUAAGAUCAUUUGGGUAAAACCAGAAACUUGUUAGUGCAAGCUUUGCAAAACUACAGUUUUGGACAGAAAGAAAGAGGUCUCAUUGCAUGUAAAAUCCUCCAAUGGGUCCAUCCUCUUGGACUUAAGGAUUUUGCAGGGAGGGCUACAAGCAGGAAAAAGCUCAAGGUCACUAGAGCAAAAUAAAAUAGGGUUGCAGUACAAAUCACCAAACUGGACCAGAAUGCAAAAGAGGUUGAUUCACUCACAAGUUUCAAAGAUCACCACUGGGUUUUUGCAUGAAGUUGAAUUUUAUGCCUCUACUGACAUCUCCAAACACUUGGAAGAAUUUUUAGCAAAAUAUUUAAAUAGGUUGUAGUGCAAAAAUGCCUACUGGACCAGAUUUGAAAAGUUGAUGCAGAGCUCAAAAUCUCCAAUAACCAAAAGAUAUUUCUGCAUAAAAGUGGUGUGGAAACAUCACAUGACAUCCCCGAAUUUUGGUGGAAAUUUUAAAUGCACCUGUCAAAUGGUUGCAGUGCAAAACAGGCUCCAAAUUCAUGAAAAAUCUUUUUAAAAGAAUAGAGCUCAGGGAAAAACAAAUCUUGCAAAUAAAUCCACUAAUAAAGAAUUGUUUCAUAGAGAGAGCAUACAAAACCCAAUAAUACUUUUGGAGAGUACCACUUGAGGUAAAAACCCAUAGUGUCAAAAGAUAAAUCUAGACAAAUGGAAAAGUUUUAUUUCCUGGUAAAAUUUUAAUUUAUAAAACAAGGUCAAAAUUUUGGGGUGUCACAACACUACCCCCCUUAAGAAAAAUCUCGUCCUCGAGAUUCUGCUUUGAACAAAUAUUGCUCUUACCAAAAGAAAACAUUCAACUGUGCAAUAAAAGAACGUGGCUAUAGUGAGAAGGCAAUUAGUGGUGUAAAACCACAGUGUGGCACACUGGCGUUGCGUGGAAAAUCCAAGGUCAGGGAAAACGAGAUAUUUCUACGCGGAUACAGUAAUUCAGAAUAAAUUCUAAAUUACUAAAAUUACGCUGGCCAUACCCGAGAGCACAGUGCUCUCUCUGGCUGACAGGUGGGCCCGGGGCCCACUGUCGGCCUCUUCUUCUUCCUCCGGCUCCCUCUUCUCUCCCACGUGCUCUCUCGCGCCUCCUCCACCGGCGACGCCUAGCGCGUAGGGCAUCUAGGCCGUACUGCGGUAGUGCGCGACGUGCUAGCUGCCGGUGCAGCGUGCACUCACCUCGCGGGCCAGUGCACUGUCGGCACUGCUCGCGGACUCACCUCCGAACACCGGCGAUCGAGCGGCGAGUGGCGCUGGUGGACCUCGCCCACCGUACACCGAUCUCGAGCUAUAAAACGACCGCGGUGCUCCUCUCUUCUUCCUCACACCUGGCCUUGCUUCUACUUCUCCUUCCUUCUCCUCCAUUGCUGUUGGCAGGAGCUCGAGGCGAGGCUCUAAUGGCGGAGGCGAUGCCGGAAUGGUACGUGGUCCUGGUGUGUGGAGGUUUGGCGGUGCUGCUGGGGCUCUCCGUGCUCCUGUGCGCGAUGAUCCUUGACGAUCGUCGUGAUGCUGCCGCUCGAGUGUUAGCUCUUCGCGGUGGCGGCGAUCAUGAGGAUUAGGUGCGGCUUCGAGUGCUAACUGUUGUGGGUGUGCUGGGGCAACUUGCGCCCGAAAGAUUUCUCACAAUACUCUCUUGCUGAGACUGGGGGUGUCCUCGGGUGUGGUCAGUAGGUGCAAAAAUGAGUACGAGGAUUUGUAAAUUAGCGUACGAGGUCGAGUGGUCGCGGUUGUGAGCCUGCUGUUACGGUGCUGCAUGAAUAAAAAUCUAUGUCGUGAAGAUAUAUACGUUGCAGCAACUCGGGGAAAGAAAAUCCCACUAAAAAAAAAUUAUCGCGAGCGAAAAUAAAAUUAGAUAAAACAAAAAUAACAGCAGUAAAACUGCUCACAAAAUGAAACCAAAAAUCGGAUCCAUCGCACAAAUAUCUUGGAUACCACGCACAAGUCACAACACAUAAAUCAAUACUGGGACAAUAAAUACAGCGGUGACGUUUACAAAGGAAACGGCAAAAGGACAGGGUCCUGAGAAAACGCCUCUGGCACUGGGGCACACUCUUCUUCUGUCGGGGGAAGCGGGUUGACCAGUCGAUGGAUGCGCCUCUCCUGGUCAGGCCUCAGUGGUCUGCCAAUAGCGAUCCGCGGAUUUAAAUCAGCGAGGCUCUGGAGAUAACCCAUCACCCGCUGAGUCAAACGCUCCUGAGCGAUAACGUACUGGGCAAGGUUGAGUACUGGAUCUCUCUCAAUUCGUCCACCGGGAAAAGAUGCAACUUCUCCGGGUGCUGCACGACUCGGAAAAUAAUAAUAUCCUCGUUCGCUAGCAUAGGGUACCGCGAAUCGAAGACGAGCGAGCGCCUUGUACGCAGCACCUUCUAUGGCCAUAUGCGGAGUCGGCAUGGAUUUUCCCACGAAGGAAACUUCCGUUGGGUCUUGGUUUGGAUAUGCGGGAGGGAUGUGCACCACUGCCCAAUAUUUCGAGGUGGAUGGGGUGAUCCUCGAUUUGAGCAACUCAUAUUGGGGUGGAUGGGUGGCACUCAUGGUACUGCAGGUAAAGUCCCACAAUAAUUUAACAAAACUACCCGGGGUUGCGUCUGGGGUUCUCCGGUAAAUACUGGGGGUCGGCAUGGCAAAGAAAUGGCUGUGAGUGUUGCGCACAAGGUGAGGGGUACUUGGCAAGGUCACGAGGUGGCCUUUAUAUAGCAUUGGGGCUGGGUUGUCUACCGGGGUGAAGGGUAACCGGUUGUCGAUCCUGUUCUUGGGUCAAAGCCACAGAUAUACAUAUCACAUAAAUGUGACGCAUUACUGUGGGUGCCGUCGGGGUUGGUCUUUGGUAGCUGCGCCCGAUAUUUAAAAACGCAACUGUACGCCAACGUACAUAUGCAUAGCUACUACUCCAAAAUAGGGGCGCACAAGCAGACAUCAUAUAAUAAAAGCGAUACAAGAUCACACCGUUACAAAGCGUAGGAAAACUAAGGCUCGAUACUACUCGAGCGACUUAGUCUACUUCGUUAAUGUCUAAGUGGGCUGGCCUGGUGGACGCCGGGGUUUCUCCACGGUUUUCACCGUCGGGAUUUGCUGGUUGAGGUUGAGGGGCUACAGGAUCGGGGUAGUGGUGAUGACCAUCGCGGGGGUUGUUGGCCACAAUCCCGUUGGAAUGGGUUCCCAAAAGGCGUCGAAGCGCUUCUGGGGACACCAAAGCACUCUGGUUGAUGGCUGGGGCAGACCUCAAGGGAUCGACCGGGUGUCCGAACAGCACGACUGGGUUGUCGGCGUUGGGCUCCGUCUCUCCUCUCGCCGGGGCUCGGCGAACCAGCUCUCCUCGGGCUGCGAUCAGAUCAAGGGUGACUUGAUCGAACAGUUGCUCUAGUGCACUUACAUAGCGCACCAGAUGCAACAGUGCAGGAUCUGUCUCGUGAUCUCCGUUGGCAACCUGAGGCGGCCUACCAUACCCGUCACGACUGGGGUAGUAGUAGAACGAGCGACAAUUCACUCUGGGCGACAAGUGCCGGAGUUGAAUUAUAGCUUCUCGGGCUGCUAGUUGGAUGGCUUGUGGCUCAAAGGAAGUUGUCCUUCCAGUGAACCUGUAGGGGCAUUCUGGCGACAAACCCCUACCAUAGAUGUGCACAGUGGCCCAGUACUGACGGCUCUCACCGUACAUGGGUCCUUGGUACACAACAUAUUCAGGAGGUUCUUCUAAUGCAUAGGCACGACGGGUGAGGUUUGCGAGCACGGUCACAAAACCUCCCAGGUUGGUUGCUGUGGUCUCACCGUGAACAAUGGGGCCAGGCAUCGUGGCUUGGUUUGGAAAAGAGGCUGUGCUGUGUGGAGGCUAGCGCGCCCUUUUUAUAGGAAAAGGGGACGGAGUCUUCCUUCGCACGCUUGUGAAUGAGACGUGCUAGGUGCCGGUUACUGGCGCGUGAUCGAUGGGCUAGGCUGAUAGGUUGGGCACCGCCCGCCGAAAGGCGUCGGGUCACUGUGGGGCUAUCUUACGCGAGAAGCUUGGCCGGGAUUAGGUUAAGGUCUGGUGGUUUGGUUAACCUAGGUUUAUUGAACUGGCUAAGAUAGGAUUAGCCAAUGGUCAGCCUGGCUCUGAUACCAAGUCUGUCGCGACCGGAUUUUCGGGAUAUUAAUUUCCCAAAGAAACGGCCGUUGUGCUCACCAGCCCCAGGAUUACUGUUAGCUGAUGAGGUACCAACUUGAUACAAGAAUUCCAAGCAAGGUACAAAAUAUGUAGUACAAGACCAUUGUGGUCUAGGAGUACAACACUUGGUUUCUAGUGGUUGAUGGCGAAAGCGGUUUGUGGUACGUCUGCGUCUAUGGGACUCCAUUUCCCACAAGAACAGCUGACCAGGAUAACUCCUAUCUUCGCGAGGCUGCUAUCACCUUUACAUGGGUUCCGGGGCUGACGUCGCAGCGCUCUUCUCCUCGCAAGAAAUCUGGCCAAGACAAUAGCCAGGGACAAGCCAGUGAGUACGUUUUAAUGUACUCGCAAACAUUAAGGACACGGGUAUAAUAUAACAAGGGAUAAUUAUGCUCCGAAAUAUUUUAUGAUGAUGACGUCUAUCACGAAUUAAACAAAAAUCUGUGAUGCACGCAUGCAGGAAAAAAGGGACAUGCAAUACGGAAGAAAAAUAAAAGAAUGCACGGAUCGAGUGUCUGAAAUGACUCCUCGGAAGGGUGCAAGUAAAUUUAACAAUGCCGCAGUCGGGCGUCUGAGCAACACCACCUAAAGGGCUUACAAAGAAUAAUUAAACGACAAGCAUGUCGCAGUCGGGUGUCUGAGCGACACCACAUAAAGGGCUUAUAAAAAAAAUAACAGGCAUGCCGCAGUCGGGCGUCUGAGUGACACCACAUAAAGGGCUUAUAAAGA
rnacentral:lncRNA from 1 species